UACCUUCUGCAUCCAAAGUGGUGAGAUCAGGUGCCAUCUAGUGUAAACCCUUCCUCUUAAUGCACAUCUGACUCCAUCCACUUCUUUCUGUUAUUUCUUCCUUUCCCUGCUUUCAUAAGCAAGCUCUGAAACCCUCAGCUGCUGGAACAAAAGCAAUUCAGCCUUUUCCCAGGAGAUUCUGCAGCAAAAAGCUCACCAAGUCCUCCUGGUGCUGUCUGCAGAGCUAAAGGGAAGGGUUGUAAUAAGGGAGCCCAGAGCUCUGCAUCCCUCUCCAGCCUGGCAGGGAUGGGUUUGCAGCCUGGAGGAGAUGAGAGCAAAGCUUUGGAUGAAGAGUGUGACCCUGCAGCCCCAUUAUCCUCUGACUUUCCUUCAAAUCCAACUUCUGCUGGUUCUAUCUGGAGCUGAGAUGGAGCUGAGCCUGCUCCCUGCACUGUGGGGAACUUGUGAGCCUGCACUGUGCUGGAUUCAGCUUUGCUGCAGGAGGAAUGAACGGUGCUGGAAGCCAAGGCACCCAGGAAUUCUGCUGGAAAACCCUCUGGAUGCUUCUCCCUCUGCACUGGGAGCACUCAGCUGCAGCACUCAGCUGAUUCCUGCACAUGUCCAAGCUGUGCAAAGCAGCCUGGCCAGGGACAGAGGAUUGGGAGCCAAUCUGCUAAACAGGGAUUUAGCCAAGAGGCAGCCCCGAGUGCCAGCCCUCUCCUAAUACUCUCUUAAGCAGCACAGGCAGCUGCUGCUUCCUCCCUGGCCCUCCUCACAGUUCACCUCAGUCCUCCAACUGCAGCAAGGCAUUUCCAAGCAGAAUUAGGUUUUGUUGGCUUCUUGCUACAGUGCCUUUUAAUUAGGAGCACAGCUGCUCUGGAAACACGGAGCUCACUUUUCAAAGAGUGCCUCUGGAAAGUGAUUACAGGGGAUUAAAGCGGAAAGGUUAGGCAAUUUAUUCAGGUGGCACUUAGCAAACGCAUCGGAUUAUUUGGUGCUGCAAGGAUGAUUUAAAAACUCACAAGAAUAACAUCUUUAGGGCUCCUGCUGGCCUUGAGGGACUCUGCUGGCAAGGCAGGUGGUGGAGGUGAAAGCUGGGAGUGAG
rnacentral:lncRNA from 1 species